rnacentral:ncRNA from 2 species
AUAAAGGCAAUAGCUCGAGCCUUGUCAAGGGACAAGGCCAAUGGGUAUUGACCGUUUAUUCAAUGCCUCCCGUGUUUGGAAAGAGUUAUGGGUAACCAAUCU